CCCUACAUGCUCAGGUCGAGCGAAGGUGCCACUCAAUAUUGUGAACAUGGAGACGGGGCAUGCCCUACAUGCUUGGGCCUCAGGUCCCAACCAGUGUCCAAGGCAUCCAGCCCUCGCGCGCUCUGCAUGCUCAGGCCGAUGGAAGGUACCGGGUAGUAUUGCAAACAUGGGGUCGGGGCAUGCCCUGCAUGCUUGGUCCUC
rnacentral:lncRNA from 1 species